UCUUCCCCAAUCUCGUCGUUCAUCGCCACCCAAUCUCCUACACCAUCCUUUUCGCCGCCGCUAACCAUAAUACCCACGCCGGCGACUAUUUGCCAAGCUUCCACCUUCUGUCAUUGAACACUCCCCGCUGACUCCACCCAAGCCUCCCUUCGUCUUUGUGAACCGAAUCCCGUUGAUCAUCACCACCUAGUGUUCUUCCAGUCCUCCAUCGUCGUCCGCCAAAGCUUUUCUCAACCGUGAUCACACUUGCGACCACGAUAACCCAUGCCGGUAACCAUCUGACACACUUUCACCUACUCACACUUGAGUCUCCUUUCAUUUUUAUCCACCCACCAUAGAUUUCACCUUGGGUCGUCGGCCAGUGCUUGGCCAUUUCCUUACACUUCACUCUCGCCAUUCGCUUUGUUCACUCCAUUAUCAUUCAGUGCCGUUGAUAACCACAGAAGCUGUACUCACUACCACUUUGUUUCCCUCACCAUCAACCCCCAGCCCCCCUUCGCAAUUCAUUCUUCUGCAUUCCUUCACUCCAUCUUUGUUUGUCGAUCAUCAUAGCCCACGACAUUCACCUCCCUCUACUCCAUUUUCAGCCAUUUUUCUUCCCAUCACCGAGCUCUGUUCGCUAUUCGUGCUCUGCUGUCAACCCUUUUCAUCCAUGCCUUUGACCAUUCAAUCACUACCGCUAUUCAUUCAUUCAACUUGGGUUCUGAAUUUUGGGUGCUGCAUUUUUGUCAGAGGUUUUUAGGUUGCUGUUUUUUUGUUUCCUGAGCCUUGAUUUCUACUCGUUUCUUUGCUCUUCCUACUCACUUCGUGAUUUGUGUUUGACUGCCAUCAAGCUCUAAAAGUAGGUUCGAAUCAAUGAUAGGCCAUCCGGGUAAGGAAAGAGGAAGGAAAGUGAAGGUUUGUUCUUUGUGUUACACGCCGUGGCGCGUAGUUCGUCCGCCACGGCGCACGAAGAUAAAUUUAAAUGCAACUGACUCCUCUGUGCCAUGCGCCAGGGCGGGGCAAAAUUUUUGAUAAUUCAAAUCGCAUCUGUGCGAGAAAAACAGAAGAGAAGGAAAAGAAGGAAAAGAAGAGAGCAUUGGGCUCUGUUAGGGCACGCAUAUUGGCUUCCAUUGUUGACAUUUUAAAUUUCUUAAACACUCAAGGUAAGUUUAUGGUGUCCUCUUCUUCCUUUCUCUUCCUCAUUUAUGAUGAUUUGUGGUAGGGUUUGACUUGGGAGAUGGAUUUUCGGUCUAUAGGAGUAUGGGUUUGAUUUCAUUGGUUAAAAUGAGUAUAAUGAGAGUUGUUUAAUUUAUUGAGAUAUCAUAUUGAUGAUUUUGAAAAUGAUUGGUCCAUUGAAGCUUUUAUUAUCUAAAAAUUAAUAUAAAUAUGGUAGUUGGGAUAUGUUAAUGUACAUUAAUGAUGAUUUAAGGUAUUAUUAAUGAUAAGGUGCAUUAAUAGAAUUUUACGAGCCAAUUGGUAUGAAUGGGUAGUGAUUAUGAGUUGACAAAAAUAAAGUGUGUAGAGUUAUAUGUUGAAAAAGCUUUAUGAGUUAGACAAUGACAAAAUUCUUGUGGUAUGGAUGUAGAGAGGUUCAUUUUUGGCACCAUUCGAGCUUGUUGAAGCUUUGAAAAGUUGGUAUAGUGAGGGGUAAACCUUUAACCUCUCAAAGAUUUGACGUAAUCGGGGGAAAACUUAAUUUUUAUAGUUGAAUGUUAAUUGUGUUCGUGAAAUAUGAUUUAUGAGUUAAAUUGAUGAUGCAUAUUGGCAAAGUGUUGAUUUGCGAAAUGAUUUUUAGAAAGAAAACUUUGAUUUUGCUGCCCUUGGUGUUUUGUGAAAUUGAUUAUGAUUUAUUACUAUGGGUGGAGAAUUGUGAUAUAUUAUGUGUUGACUUGUGAAGUAUUGAGUUAUGUGAGAUUGAUUGCCAUACAUUUAUUUUUUAAUGCAUAAUAUGUGAGAAUUAUGCAUAGCAUGAUAUUGGUGGGAGUUUCCCUAGGGAGGGGAGUAGAUUGGUUGACAUCUACAUGGAAUUUGGCAGUGACCGUUGGAAUCGAGAACUAAUCGUGGCAUUGAUUAUUGAAAUCGGAAGGUAGCCCUUGUCUCAUGAUUGAUUUAAGACUGCCCCACUUGUUUUAUGAGUGACUCGAACCUAACUAGUCUCCACCGGUUCAUGAGGAGGUUAGAUUAGGGGUACGACACUUUAUGAUUAUUAGUAUUGGGAAAAACUGGAUUACAUAAGUGAGAGAGUUCACCUUGGCCUAGUAGCUCCUCACAAGUGAAAGGUUGGGUUAGUCCAUAAAGGAUGUAGCUACGUGAUAGCCACCGGUUUCGUGUCGGAGAUAACAGGAAGAUAUAAGGUUGGCAUAGAAUCAUGCAUAUAAAUUUGGCCACAUGGUUGCUAGUUUUGUGGUUUGGCAUGUAUUGAGAGUGCAUGGUUAUUAUUUUUGUCACCCUGUGAUAUAUUUUUGCUAAAUAAUAUGAUAAAAUAUUUUGUGGCAAUCCCAAUCACAUGGUGAUUAGUUUUGUGAAUCGUGGCUGAGUGUUAUGUGCUAAUUAUAUUUAUUUGCUUAAUUGCAUCUAUUUAUAAUUAAUAUGCAACUGUAUGAGUUAAGUGAAACUUGGUUAUUGAGUAGUUGUACUCAUCCCUCAAUUCUCAAUUCUCAAUAUUAAGAUUUGGGACAUAUUGGAAAUUUGUGCCCUGUGCUUUCAUAUGACAGCAUCAAAUUUCAUACAAUGCGCCGUGGCGUAUGUUAGGUGCAUGUGCUGUAAGUCGUAAUGCACGUGACAUUUUUUGCACAAAAUUUGUUUUUGAAUUUUAAAACUUAUUUUUUGAGUCUCAAUUGAUUUUCUUUCAAGCUUUCAUUUUGUUUUUAAAACUCUGAUUUGGAGCUUCUUAAAUUAUGUUUGAGAUUUGAUUUGUCGAGAUUGAGAAUUUUUUAAAAGAAUUUGAAAAAUUCUUUUUGUAAAACUUUACAAUUUAGUAAUGCUUUGAGGGUAAAAUCUUAGAUUAUCCUGAUUUAGAGUAAUUUAUGAUUUAGUCUUUGGGAGGUUACAUCGCUCCCUAUUGACUUAUUGGAGGUACCACAACCUUUUAAGUUGAAGUCCCUUAGGAAUGAAAUCAUUGAAGAUAGGAAUUUAAAUGUUGUGACAGAAUAAGAGGUGGCACCUACUAAUGAUGAGCCAAGUGGGCCAUCUGUGCCAUUUGAGGAGGGCGUUCUCAAAAUGUUAUAUGAUUUUACAAUGCGCUUAGAGCAAGUUCAGCAUGAUGUUUCUAUACUACAGGACAUGGUUGCGGCAAUUGAGUGAUGAGUGCCUCUGGCACCUUAGUUUGUCCUAUUCAGGAGGACUUUAAUUUGUAUCUUAAUUAAUUUUCUUUUGGAUAACUAUAGGACUAUUUAUGCAUUUUCUUUAACUUUUCUAUUUACAUUAAAAAGAUUAUUAUGAGAUCUUAUGUCCUUGUUCCAUGUCUCAUCAUGAUAUUCUGUAGAUUACAAGGUUUUUAUCCUCUCUCUCUACAUUUAGAUCACUUACAUUUCUCCAUUCUAUUAAGGGAGUGUCAGUUUCCUUCCCCCUCUCUCUUGUUUUUAUCGUUCAUUUAGAGAAAACCUUAGGAAAGCAAGAGGGGAAUUCUUAAAGCUUGGGAUUAAGAAGUGGAGCAAAUUUUCAUUUCACCUCAUUUUUUUAGUGCUUUUUCUUCUUUUCCUUUAUGCUGAUAGUUUUGAAUCUUUUUUGUGCUAUUUUUGUGUUCAUAUUAGUUAUGUGUAGCUAAAUCUUCUCGUUUUAGAGGACUAUGAACCUAUUUGUGUAAACAACCUUGGAUUUACCAUUUUGUUGUUGAGAAAUGAAGUUUUGAUUACUUAUUCUUGAGCUAUAUUAUUCUUGUUUCGUGACUAGCCACCACUAGGUGAGAUUUGGGCAUUUGAGUUGAACCUUAGAAGAGGAGACUCAAAUUGAACCUUGAAAACUAGUAGCCUAGGAUUAGUUUGCUAAUUUUUCAUUAGAAUAGGAAUAUAUCUAAUAGACUUAGGUAAUCCUCAUGAGUUAGAGUCUGUAAUAUAACUAAUUAAUUAAGGUAAUAAUUUGCUUUAAUUGAAUUAAUUAGGAUCUUUAGUGAUCGGAAGAACUUUGGAUUAAUUUAAAUUUCAAAAUUAUCAAAAUUGAAUUUCGAGACAAUUAAUGUGAUAAUGAGAGUGUUAGAAAGCAAAUAAGAGAUUAGGACUUUAGAAUGCUAUUCUUUUGGUUAACUUUAGUUGUUUGUGGAUUGAAAGUUAUUUUAAUUGAUCAUUUUUAAUAUUUUCAUUUUAAUUGUUCUAAAAUCAAUCUAGUUUUAUUAGCUUCACGUGAAUGAAUUUAAAAAUUUCAAUGCUUAAUUGCCAUUUUAAUUAAUUUCCUAAGAGAUUAAUCUUGAUUUACCACUAGCUUCAAUUGCGGCUCGUACACUUGCGAUGUCUCUUAAUUUUUGUGGGCAUCAAUAUUGGAUUUCAUGGAGAGACCAAUGGAUAAUAUGAAUUCCCUCCAUUAUCUAAUAUAAUGAAUCCUAGCUUUGCAUAGUGGAUAAUCAAGGGAAACAUAGAUGCAGACCAUUCUUGUACUUUAGCAAUGACAUGAGAAAUUCCCAAAAGGCCCGUAACCUUCUUCCAAUUUUGAAAGAGAUGUAGAGGAAUCAAAUUUGGUAUCUCUAUAAAAUGCCCAAAAUAGCCCUAGCUAUUUCUAUAAAUAUAUAUUCUCUUAACUCUAUAUCAUAUAGUUUGAUGAUAGGAGAUGGAUUUGACACAUAAUGAGUCCCAAGCAACAAGGUGGCAAUAUGACUUGAUAAAUGACCAACUCAAUCUUCUCCAAGAUAUAUAAUGGACUAAUAAAUCUAGAAGUUAAAUCCAUGCCUCAACUUGACCUCCUAAUUCUUGUUCAUUGGUAUGACCCUCUAGAACACAGACACCUACCAAAAUUUCUAAUAGACUUCUCUAUCUAUCAUAAGAACUCUCUAUCUAAUUGGAGCCACUACAUUUUCCACUCUUAUCUCAAUCUUUUAGGUGGUCUAAUCUACCAUCUAUAGUCCAAUAAUGCCCCUUCAAUCAUUUAAAUCAAUCGAACACAAAUGAUUUACAUUCUUGUCCAUAAUGCCUUAUACAAGGUCAUCUAAAACAUGUUUUACUUCAUGAUUGCACUCCCUCAUAGUUUAAACUUCACCAUCUUUCAUUUAUUUUAGUAGUUAUUGCCUUAUCAUUAGUGACAAUAAAGUCUGACAUAUAGACAACUGCUUAUCAUCCAAGUUCCUAGUGACUAAUCCAUUGGGUUUGAAGUAGAAAGAUCGUGGUUAAAACAUUUGAUCACAAACUAAGGCCAUUCAAUUGUGGCCUUAGAGAGUGUCAUAUAGCUAUACUAGCCAACAAUUGGUUAAUAUUAAAAAUUUGUUUCACAACAUAGUUAACUUACAAUCUACUUUUAUCAUUUUCCAUAUUGUAUCUCAAUGUGAUCAUUCUAUCCUCAUAAAUUUGUUAAUUAGCCCAAUUGAUCUAUUGCAUCUCUAUUGCGUUACGCUGAUCAAUUGUUUCUAUCGUGUUUAAACUAUCUUAUAUGAAUUUUUCUAUUAAGUUAUGUGAACUUUGUAUUUUGUCUGGGCAUAUUUUGCAUUUAAUAAAAAAAUAAAUUCAACUAAAAAAUAUAAAAAUAUAAAAAUAAAAUUUAAUCCUUUUUAGGAUUAUAUUUAAAAAAAAAAUCUAAUGAAAAAAAAUCUUGUUUAAAUCCUUUAAAAUCUUUUCCAAAUUAUCCCAAUCAUUCAAAAUAUUGAGAAUCUACUUUGUGAGAAUCAACUAUUUUUUUAAAAAAAGUUUAUUUCCUUAAAUCUUGUUGCUUUCCAUUAAAAGAAAAAGAUAUUCUUGCGUAAUUCAAAAUUAUUUGUCUCUCUCUUAAUCUAAUUUUCAAAAUUUUAAUUAAACAUAACAUAAAAAAAAAAGAAAAGGAAGGAAAGCAUCACAUGCAUGGCAAUUGAGCUUUAGUGACAAACGCAGUCUCCAGUGCAAAGAAACAAAAAUGCAGAGUAUGCACACGGAACAGAGAUAGCAUAGAUGAAAAACAGAGAAAGCAGAAAGCAGAUGCAAAAGAACAGAAACAAAGCACACGAACACAGCAACGCAGAGAGAGAGAGAGAGAGAGAGCAGAUUGGCCACACAUAAAGCAAAGAGCAGAAGAAAAGCGGACGAAAUCAUAAAGGAAGGCAACAAAAAAAGCUUCACUUUGUAGAAGAGACACAUGCAUGUUGCAGAAGAAAAGAAAAACAAAGCAGAAACACAGCACAUACGCAGCAGACGAAAACACAGAGAGAAAGAGAGAGAGAGCAGACUUGGCUACACGCAAAGCAAAGGGUAGAAGAGAAGCUCACAGAUGCAAGCGUAGGAGUCAAAGAGAUGAGCUGCAUGCAACAGGAUUGGGGAUCUCAUUCUACCUUACAUAUAAAAACCGACACGGUGAAGGGGAGAAAGGGAGGAGGACUUAGUAUUUGCUUCUGGAGGUCAGAGUGAGAGAAAAAGGAAGAACAAGAGAAAAACAAAGAAAAGGCUGAAACAAAAGAGAGAGAUAGAUAGUGAGAGAGAAGUGACAAGGAUGAAGGAGAUUUCAAAACAGACUUUGAAGUAAGAGAGUGAUAGAGAUGGGGAGGGGACGAAAAAUAGAGGAAAGAGCUUAAGGAAUUUCUGGAAGGUAGAUUGAAUUUGGGAUUGAGAGUGAUUUUCUAGAUUUGAGCUCGAGAGAACGAACAAGGAAUAAGGAUAGAGGAUGCUGAAUGAUUGAAGAUUCAGAGGGAGAAGCAACAACUGAUUGAGCACUCGAGGAAGCUAGAUUAUGCACACAAUAGGGUGAAGAUGAAAGGUGAUGAAGCAGAGAGUAAUAGCUCAGUUUCAAAUGGGUAACGAUCUCUGCAUGUUCAUUCUUCAAAGCUUAAUCUGUGGGAUUAAUGAAGUAAUUAGGGAAUUUCAAAAUUUGUAUAGAUUACAUGAUUUAUUUUGUGAGGCAUUGUACCAAGUUAUGCAUUUUGGGAUUCUCUUUUUCUUUUUGUACGUUUUAGACUAUCAUUGAAAUUAUUUCUGAUUGUGAGCUUCACAAUUAUUUGUUGGUUAUAAAAUUCUUAAUAAUGUAUAAUAUUUAAAUCUA